rfam:Ailuropoda melanoleuca scaffold3595_14, whole genome shotgun sequence.
GCCUGGGUGGCUUAGUCGGUUAAGCAUCUGCCUUUGACUCAGGUCAUGAUCCCAGGAUCCUGGGAUCAAGUCCCGCAUCAGGCU